rnacentral:rRNA from 1 species
GGCGGGGGCAGGCCUACCAUGCAAGUCGAGCGGAUGAAGGGAGCUUGCUCCUGGAUUCAGCGGCGGACGGGUGAGUAAUGCCUAGGAAUCUGCCUGGUAGUGGGGGAUAACGUCCGGAAACGGGCGCUAAUACCGCAUACGUCCUGAGGGAGAAAGUGGGGGAUCUUCGGACCUCACGCUAUCAGAUGAGCCUAGGUCGGAUUAGCUAGUUGGUGGGGUAAAGGCCUACCAAGGCGACGAUCCGUAACUGGUCUGAGAGGAUGAUCAGUCACACUGGAACUGAGACACGGUCCAGACUCCUACGGGAGGCAGCAGUGGGGAAUAUUGGACAAUGGGCGAAAGCCUGAUCCAGCCAUGCCGCGUGUGUGAAGAAGGUCUUCGGAUUGUAAAGCACUUUAAGUUGGGAGGAAGGGCAGUAAGUUAAUACCUUGCUGUUUUGACGUUACCAACAGAAUAAGCACCGGCUAACUUCGUGCCAGCAGCCGCGGUAAUACGAAGGGUGCAAGCGUUAAUCGGAAUUACUGGGCGUAAAGCGCGCGUAGGUGGUUCAGCAAGUUGGAUGUGAAAUCCCCGGGCUCAACCUGGGAACUGCAUCCAAAACUACUGAGCUAGAGUACGGUAGAGGGUGGUGGAAUUUCCUGUGUAGCGGUGAAAUGCGUAGAUAUAGGAAGGAACACCAGUGGCGAAGGCGACCACCUGGACUGAUACUGACACUGAGGUGCGAAAGCGUGGGGAGCAAACAGGAUUAGAUACCCUGGUAGUCCACGCCGUAAACGAUGUCGACUAGCCGUUGGGAUCCUUGAGAUCUUAGUGGCGCAGCUAACGCGAUAAGUCGACCGCCUGGGGAGUACGGCCGCAAGGUUAAAACUCAAAUGAAUUGACGGGGGCCCGCACAAGCGUGGAGCAUGUGGUUUAAUUCGAACCACGCGAAGAACCUUACCUGGCCUUGACUGCUGAAACUUUCCAAAAUGGAUUGGUGCUUCGGAA